AGGGUAAUGGCUCAGUGGUAGUGUGCCUGCUUGGCAUGCAUGAGGUUCUGGGUUCAAUCCCCAGUACCUCCA
rfam:Camelus ferus unplaced genomic scaffold scaffold2400, whole genome shotgun sequence.